GCAAAGGGCUCAAAGUGUGCCCUCAGCUUGCUCUGUUGCCUCAUUGUGCUGCUCAAGAACAGUGACUUAGUCUGGAGCAUGAGCCCAAGAUCUAUGCUGGAGGUCGUAGUUCCCUUCUCAAGUAAUUGCCACUGCUGUGCUUUCCUCUCUGUCAGUGAGAGAUGGAAAAGGCAGUUGCCCUGCCUUUGUCCAUUGAAUCUCAUUUUAAUUUUCUUUCUGUUAUCAUAUUUGAGGAGAAUUAAAUGUCCAUCUCGGGGGCUUGCUGGAAUUGAAAUAAUCAAGAUCUCAUUCCAUAAUAUAAAGAUAUGACUUAAGAUACUUAAGUAUCACUUAAUAGUCUGUGCUUUUCCCAUAGGGAAUUUGCUGUGUUGCUAAUACAGGUUUCUCUCUUUCUCCUCCCCCUUUCCUAUUCCUGCUUGAAGGGCAUUUUUUUUUUUUCUGUUGUGUCAAAAUAAGGUCAUGAUGAAUGAUGGGUCCUUUCUGAGAUGAGAACACUUCUGCAAUCUGGUAACCUUUGCCACAAAACACACGCACUAGUAAAUGGUUCAGCACUUGGAGUGAUUCACUACUAAGCAUUAUAGAAAAUAAGUUUACCAGUUGAAAAAUUCCAAGGCAAGUUUUCUUUCUUUGCUCUGUGGUUUGUGUAUGGUAUGAUCAUUUUUCCCUAUUAUGUGGUCAAGAGAGGGGAUAAUGUGAGCUUCUUAAGGGAUCCUGUAAUGCACCAAAACUUGCAAUAGUUACAACAGUUUUAAGAGAGAGCAUGAAAAUAGCCAUGAGAUCAGCUGAAAGGAACUAUUUUCAGCUGUGUUGUAUUCCUGGCUAUAUUCUACCAUCAGUUUGUGCACCUGUCUCCCAUUAACCUUUAUGGAAGUUUUGUGUAUUCAUCAAAGGGGAACAUGUUUGAAUAUGUGAUAACAGAGUUCCUUUUGUAUGUUUUAUGCAGCAUUACUAGCUGAAAAGAUAAUAGAAUAAGUAAGGAGAGAGGUGUUCACUUUUUUCAGGGGCUUUUUUAAACUUUUAAUUAGGAAUUCAAUGAUUUUUCUAUAUGUUAAGCAAAAGGGGUGUCUCAUGUAACCUUAAAGUGCAUUCUAGACUAGAGUUAAUACAAACAAAGGCACACUAAAAUACUAAGUUUUACUAAAAAUGAUUGCACUUUUCAUCCAGUGACAUCAAAUUAUCUCAUUCUAGAAAUGUGAAAUAAUUACCCAUAUCAUGUACAUAAUAAUUGCUCACAGAUGUUGCAAGAGAGUUAAAAAGAAGUGACAAGACCACUGGGAUUAGAAUUUAGGAUUCCUAGCUUCCAGUUUUCUAUUCUUACCAAAAAGUAGUAUUUAUUCUUCUGCAACUGUUAACUGAGAUUAGACAGCUAUUUUACGUUGAAGUGCAGCAAUUCUGCUAAAGCAGGUUGGGCUUGAUCUCUGGAUGUCCUUUCCAAGUCUGUGUUCUGUGGUUCUGUGAGUACAAGAAGGAAAAAAAACGGUGAUGUAAUUGUGAAACAGCAAUCUGGAAUCUUAUGCAGCUUUAGUAGUUUACGAUCAAACUCUGCUUCUCUGAAAAAAAUAAACGAUUAAAAAAAUCCAAUUCUUCAUUAAUGCAGAAAAAUAUUGUAAUAAAAUUUAAAUUUAAUUUCAUUAUAAUAAAAUAUUAAAUAUAUGUUUAUAGCUGGGGGGUUGUAUUUAUUUUACAGGAAAUAUAAUGUGUUCAGAUAUUGGAAAAACACGUAUAAUUUGGCAGGUUUUGUUCUGUAUUACAUAUGCAAAGUAAAGUCUAGCCUGUUUAAUUUUUAAUAGUGAUAUGACAACUAUUAAAUAACAUUAUUUCUCUUAGUAUUAUAUAUGCUAGUAAUGUUAGCAAGCUCCAACACACACUUACAGAUAUGUGUGUAGGAGCAAAAUGUACUUACAGCUGUUUUUAAAGUCAGUGGAAGAAUGUGAUAUUUAAGCAGUACUUUCAUUAAUCAAGGCAAUGACUUUUUAUUUCACUAUAAUUCUAAAAUAUUACAUCUUUUUUGUUAUUCAUUGUCCUAAAUUCUGUAGUUCAGGCUGUAAUUCAGGAGUAAGGAAAAAAAUCCAUUAUAGAUGCUUGCUUAAUUUGUUGUGUACGUCCAGACAGCUACUGACCAACUGUUGUGAUAUACUUAAGACAGCCAGUUAGAGUUCAAGAUUAAGUAAAAAGUACAGAUCCACUAGAUUUUAUAAUUUUAUGUUUAUCUUUUUUUUUAAUUGAUAAGCAUUUCAUAGAAUUUCUUUCUCUGAGAUAAAGAGGCUGGUGGCUAGCACAUAGAACGAUUAAAAGGGAUCAUUUCCCCAGCUUUUGCCCUUGCUCUGGAAUUGUGGGGGAAGUGACUUAGGUCAUGCCUUUUUCACCUUGAUACCAAAGGAGGAAAGGUGGUGUUUUGCCACCAGUAGUUUUUGCCACUGGUUCCAAGGUCAUGGACAUAUAUUUUCUCUUAAUGUUGGUUUCUUAGUGUGUCAGAUUAACCAUAUCUGUUUCAAUGGCAAUAAUUCUUACAGCCAAAGCUAUGUUAACUGAGAUUUGAAAGGAAGCUUUUUGAAUGGAAGGCACCACAUAUAAUUUUGAGUGUUACUAAAAUCGUAUCUGCCUGGCAUAGAUCAUAACUUUUUUACUAACAAAGAAAUCAACAACUGAAUCAUACUUUCAUGAUUUCUGAGCUUUUCCUCAUCUCAUAAAUUGACAGUUACCCACCCUCAUGACACAGGUAUAAAGUAAGUGUGACAAAUAUUAUCCAGAGUUUUACAGCGGUUAGCUCAAAAUCACUCAGAGAUAUUCAAGUGACAGUUAAAAUUGCCUUUGCAGCUCACUAGUUCCAUAAUCAGCUCGAAAAAAUGUUCUAAUUCUCUUAAAUUUCAAAUACUAUUUAGAAGUAAACAUUUUAAGUGACUGCAAAUUCUAAAUUUGAAAACAUAAAAAAUGACCUCUAUAGUGUGGAAAUUACUAUGGGCCAUUGUUUGAACUCCUGAAAUGUGCUAAAGCAAUUUUCAAAUUUACUUCCAUUGAGAAGCCAUAUUACUUUUCAUAGAAAAUGAUCAAAAGCAUCAGAGUGGAUGUGGUAUAUUAAUAAUAAGAGGUGGGACAGUGAGGGUAAAAGAAGUGAUGGGACACAUAUGGUUCAAUUCAGCACUUUUCAUUUAUGCUGGAAAAAAAUGUAAAUUAUGUCACCCUUGCUUGCUAGUGCAAAGUUACCAGACAGGCAUCACUAAGUGAUCUCUCUGACAUUAAAAUGACUGGAAUGUUAUUUCCAACUAUUUCUUUUCUUUUGGAAAUCUUACAAUAUCUUAUUGCAAAUGAAAUAAAAAAUCCACAUAUAAUGGUGUAAGAAACAAAGAUCUGCUUGUAGUCUCAAUGAUGGAUUAUUGCCAUUCUAUCUCAAUGCUAAUUGAAAUCCAGGAUGUUUGUAUCAAAGCUGCUAUGAGACACUUACAUAUACCUUUCUGCCCCACUGGAAAUGUAAUCUUUCUAUUGAACAUUUUGUCCUGGUAAAUUCCAUCUGCCAUAGAAAUAGGCAUUUUGCAUUUGAAUCGAGAUGGUUGCUAUGUUGAAUCAGAUGAUAUGGUGUACACUCCCCUUGUCUUUAGAUGAAAUUGAUCCUUUACUGUGUUGAACAUAAGACUGUGAUUUUUUUACACCUAAUUAUCUUAUUGUUUCAUCUAGAUGGAUUUUGGAAUGCACCACUUUUUGAUCUUUGCAUAUAUUGGUGUGACACUUCUCUUAAAAAACAGUUUCUCCUUAGAUGAUAGUACAUUUUAAAUAUUCAGUUACAUUCCUUUUCUAAAUAAAACAUAAUAAGAUCACAGUGUUUCAUUUAUUGAUAAUGUAUUUGCUAAUUUUAUAGAAAUUAAUAUUUGUUAACUUAUUAAUCACUUUUGCAGCAGUAAAGGAAUAAUUCUAUGUAUAAUUCCUCAAACUUGAUGGAGUAAACCUAUUUGUUUUGAAAUACCUACAAACUAAGCUAUGUAUUCAAAAUUUUGGUUAUUUUACUCAUAAGUAAUUCCACUGACUUCAGUGAAGAGAGGCACCAUAAAACUGAAUGGAAGUUGCGUGUGUUCACUUACCUAUAGUGUUAAAACUUGUCAUCACCUUUCUUUGCAAAUGUGGGUUGUUACUUUUUUUGCAAUACAAGGUAAAUUAUACCGAGUGUCUGUACAAAAAUCUGUAUUUUUUUCCUCUUUUUUUUGACAUGUAUAUGUGCUCUAAGCAUUUUCACUUCACAUCAAGUGUGUAGAGUAUUUGUGAAAGAAAAAAAUAGGAGAGAUCUCUGGCUAUGGAGGAGAUAAUGUGAAAGCAUAAAUAGCAGCUACUCUCUGCAGGUAUGAACCUGUUCUUAUUUAAAUCAAUGGAAAUUUUGCUGCUGAUGGCAGUCAAUGCAGGAUCAAGUCCUUGAGUCUUUCUGCAAAUCAAUUAGAUGUGUUCUUCAUAGGCUUUCACGCCUUUGAACAUCUGUCUCUAAAUUACUGUUGGAAGCCAAUCAAUUAGAUACUUGAGUUCAUUUUAUGAAAAUAAAUUCCACAAUGUUGUGUAAAAUGAAAGGAAAUGCUUUAAUUUACUGCUUUUGAUUUAUCCAAAAAGAUUAAGCUAUAUCUGUGAUUGUCAGAUCACCUUGUUUUAUUUGCUGAAACAUGUACGACUCGACAGAAUGCUGAUGUGACUCUUUGUGUAUUUGAAUUGUUUCUGCACUGAAAAAUAGCGCUGGUACUAGGAAGCUGAGAGAUGAGAUAUUGCUAUGUCAGGCAUUGGACUGAAAUACAUUUUAAAUAGACUCCUUAUAUGGUACUGUAGCAAUGAAAAAUUCUGAUUUAGUGUCUGCUAAGAAAAUUUUGGAAAUCCUUUUAGAAGUUUCUUAAUCAAUACUAAAUUUGUCAGUAGUAGCGGAUAACCCAAUAUAUAUAAUCAUUAAAGAAAAAUAAACAAUUUUAAAUGUAAAAA